ensembl:miRNA MIR125B microRNA mir-125b
GACUUUUCCUAGUCCCUGAGACCCUAACUUGUGAGGUAUUUUAGUAACAUCACAAGUCAGGCUCUUGGGACCUAGGCGGAGGG